CUGUUGAAUUCUGGACUCUGACUGGUCAGAAGCUGGUGAUUCAUUUUCAGUUCUCAGGUUGUCUCUCAGAGAGGAUCUUUAAAGUUUCAAUGCAGACACUAAACAGUGUUUCUCUAUCAGAAAGAGCUCCAUGCAGAACCCUUUUUGUGAAGCUAAGAACCCUUAUUUACCCAGGAACCCCUUAAAGAACUCUAAAAGAACCCUUAAAGAACCCUUUUCCCAAGAGUGUGUGCAUUAACUGGUUGGAGGUUAAGACCUUGAGUCGAAUGCAGCAUAUUCUUUUCUCAGCAAUUAUAAGAGAAGGUUGAUGCCCAAUACUGAAACUUCUUCAGGAUUCUUCACUGUCUGGAGGAUGUGAGGAUGUUCAUCAUGAUGAUCUAUUUCUGCUUGGAGCUUCUGCACUUCUCACAUUUUCAUCGUUCCCAAAAACCAUGUGAUUUUGUCCUUGAGGAAAGUCAGCGUGUGAAUAAAGCAGCAUGGAGCUCAGCAGCUCUCCUGUAACCUGAGGACUGACCCAGCAUGCAUCUCUCUCUCGUGGACGCUGCAAGAC